CGAACGCUGGCGGCGUGCUUAACACAUGCAAGUCGAACGGGAUUUAGUAAACGGAAGCCUCGGUGGAAGAUUACUAAUGAGAGUGGCGAACGGGUGAGUAACGCGUGAGCAACCUGCCUAUGACAGUGGGAUAGCCUCGGGAAACCGGGAUUAAUACCGCAUAAAAUCGUAGAAACACAUGUUUCAACGGUCAAAGAUUUAUCGGUCAUAGAUGGGCUCGCGUCUGAUUAGCUAGUUGGUGAGAUAACAGCCCACCAAGGCGACGAUCAGUAGCCGGUCUGAGAGGAUGAACGGCCACAUUGGAACUGAGACACGGUCCAAACUCCUACGGGAGGCAGCAGUGGGGAAUAUUGCACAAUGGGGGAAACCCUGAUGCAGCGACGCCGCGUGAACGAAGAAGGUAUUCGUAUCGUAAAGUUCUGUCCUAUGGGAAGAUAAUGACAGUACCAUAGAAGAAAGCUCCGGCUAAAUACGUG
rnacentral:rRNA from 1 species